rnacentral:rRNA from 1 species
GAUGAACGCUGGCGGCGUGCUUAACACAUGCAAGUCGAACGAUGAAGCCCAGCUUGCUGGGUGGAUUAGUGGCGAACGGGUGAGUAACACGUGAGUAACCUGCCCUUGACGCUGGGAUAAGCGCUGGAAACGGCGUCUAAUACCGGAUACGAGCUUCCACCGCAUGGUGAGUUGCUGGAAAGAAUUUCGGUCAAGGAUGGAGUCGCGGCCUAUCAGGUAGUUGGUGAGGUAACGGCUCACCAAGCCGACGACGGGUAGCCGGCCUGAGAGGGUGACCGGCCACACUGGGACUGAGACACGGCCCAGACUCCUACGGGAGGCAGCAGUGGGGAAUAUUGCACAAUGGGCGCAAGCCUGAUGCAGCAACGCCGCGUGAGGGACGAAGGCCUUCGGGUCGUAAACCUCUUUUAGCAGGGAAGAAGCGAAAGUGACGGUACCUGCAGAAAAAGCACCGGCUAACUACGUG